AAUCUGCCUGGUAGUGGGGGAUAACGUUUCGAAAGGAACGCUAAUACCGCAUACGUCCUACGGGAGAAAGUGGGGGAUCUUCGGACCUCACGCUAUCAGAUGAGCCUAGGUCGGAUUAGCUAGUUGGUGGGGUAAUGGCCCACCAAGGCGACGAUCCGUAACUGGUCUGAGAGGAUGAUCAGUCACACUGGAACUGAGACACGGUCCAGACUCCUACGGGAGGCAGCAGUGGGGAAUAUUGGACAAUGGGCGAAAGCCUGAUCCAGCCAUGCCGCGUGUGUGAAGAAGGUCUUCGGAUUGUAAAGCACUUUAAGUUGGGAGGAAGGGCAGUAAGUUAAUACCUUGCUGUUUUGACGUUACCAACAGAAUAAGCACCGGCUAACUUCGUGCCAGCAGCCGCGGUAAUACGAAGGGUGCAAGCGUUAAUCGGAAUUACUGGGCGUAAAGCGCGCGUAGGUGGUUCAGCAAGUUGGAUGUGAAAGCCCCGGGCUCAACCUGGGAAUUGCAUCCAAAACUACUGAGCUAGAGUACGGUAGAGGGUGGUGGAAUUUCCUGUGUAGCGGUGAAAUGCGUAGAUAUAGGAAGGAACACCAGUGGCGAAGGCGACCACCUGGACUGAUACUGACACUGAGGUGCGAAAGC
rnacentral:rRNA from 1 species